rnacentral:rRNA from 1 species
AACGAACGCUGGCGGCGCGCUUAACACAUGCAAGUCGAACGAGAAGGCGUAGCAAUACGCUUGUACAGUGGCGAACGGGUGAGUAAUACGUGGGCGACCUACCCUCGAGUGGGGAAUAACCCGCCGAAAGGCGGGCUAAUGCCGCGUACGCUUCCAUCUUUAUGGAGGUGGAAGGAAAGCCGUGCCGUGGGCACGGCGCUCAAGGAUGGGCUCACGUCCUAUCAGCUUGUUGGAGGGUAACGGCCUACCAAGGCUCCGACGGGUAGCUGGUCUGAGAGGACGAUCAGCCACACUGGCACUGCGACACGGGCCAGACUCCUACGGGGAGGCAGCAGUGAGGAAUAUUGCGCAA